rnacentral:tRNA from 1 species
GCCCCUGUGAUGCAACUAGGAUAACAUAGGAGCUUGCGGAGCUUCUUAUCCGGAUUCAAAUUCCGGCGGGGGCA